rnacentral:rRNA from 2 species
CCCGACUGCGGCGGCUUAAACAUGCAAGUCGAGCGCCCCGCAGGGGAGCGGCAGACGGGUGAGUAACGCGUGGGAACGUACCUUUUGCUACGGAAUAACUCAGGGAAACUUGUGCUAAUACCGUAUGUGCCCUUCGGGGGAAAGAUUUAUCGGCAAAGGAUCGGCCCGCGUUGGAUUAGCUAGUUGGUGAGGUAAAGGCUCACCAAGGCGACGAUCCAUAGCUGGUCUGAGAGGAUGAUCAACCACACUGGGACUGAGACACGGCCCAGACUCCUACGGGAGGCAGCAGUGGGGAAUAUUGGACAAUGGGCGCAAGCCUGAUCCAGCCAUGCCGCGUGAGUGAUGAAGGCCCUAGGGUUGUAAAGCUCUUUCACCGGUGAAGAUAAUGACGGUAACCGGAGAAGAAGCCCCGGCUAACUUCGUGCCAACCGCCGCGGGAAUACAACACCUGCACAAUAACCACCGGAUAACUACGUGCCAGCCGCCGCGGUAAUACA